rfam:TPA: Bos taurus chromosome 3, whole genome shotgun sequence.
UCCCUGAUAGCUCAGCUGGUUAAGAGUCUGCCUGCAAAGCAGGAGACGCAGGUUCAACUCCUGGGUUGGGAA